CGCUAUACUAGCCCCUGAACUUACCGGCUCACCUCUACGAGCCGGUUUUCAAUA
rnacentral:sRNA from 1 species